GUGAGCGCAGCGUGGAUGGGUGUCCAUACACAGCACGGAGGUGUUCCUAGACAAACACUUUUACACGGAUUAUGUCUCAUGCUCGGGGCUGGAGGUGGAAUUUCCCCCCAGGUGUAGCGGCCCAGUGGGCCCCAAGUUCAUCCUCAAAUCUUGCACAUACCAGUGUGCACACCACUGGAUGAGUGCAAUGCCUCGCUGUGAGCACCUCCUUGUACAAUGUUCAGAUGAGUCAUUGCAACAGCCCUAGAUCCUGCCAGUGUGCAAAAAGCAAAAG